rnacentral:rRNA from 1 species
UACGGGGGGGGCAAGCGUUGUUCGGAAUUACUGGGCGUAAAGGGUGCGUAGGCGGCUUUCUAAGUUGGAUGUGAAAACUCUGGGCUCAACCCAGAGCCUGCAUCCAAAACUGGAGAGCUAGGGUUCUGGAGGGGAAAGCGGAAUUCCUGGUGUAGCGGUGAAAUGCGUAGAUAUCAGGAGGAACACCGGUGGCGAAGGCGACUACCUGGCCCAUUCUUGACGCUGAGGCGCGAAAGCUAGGGGAGCGAACGGG